CCAGGACCCAACCCAGUGCCUGGAGCAGAGUGGGCACUCAACCAUCUUUCCAUAAAGAUGACAUGAGAGCACAGGGGAAGGAUUUGUCCACGGUGCUGAAUAUCUUUUCUGCGGCCACAAAAGUCAGCUGAAGCACAACUGGAAGACAGACAAUGCAAAUCCGUUUUCAAGAAUUACUGUGCUUUCAUGAUUCACUAAGGAUGAGUCCUGAUCCCCAGUGUGAAAGCCGUUGCUGUAAUGUGCUUUCCUGUCCAACAGAGGCUGGAAAGUGAAAGACUGCGUUUUCCCACCUGCUUCAGCUAAAGCUCCAGUUGUUUUCGGCUCUGCAAACCCAAUGCCCUCACAUUGCUUUUGCUACUUCUGCUGGCAGGAUGAUCUGUUGGUUUGAGUAGGCAAGAGACAAGUGGCCUGAAUCUAAAUGACCAUCCAAUGAAGGAAAAGUCACAACACAAAGGUUUCCACAUCUCCAGUCCUCAAAGAGAGAGACUGUUUGUGGGGUGGGAGGGCACGAAUGCUGUCAGGAUUAAAUGUCAAUGCUUGAAAUCUUUUCAAUCAAAAGGUGCCAUGGUGGCUUCAAAUAAUACACUUGGUUUACAAGUUCAACUUUUUGUUUUGAAAGAAACACAGCCUCUGCAGGAAAACAUUUCCAAAAGCUUUUCACUUUUUCCUGGGGCUUCAUAAUACUUAGAAGAUUUUUCAGCUGAUUAGAUUUUCCCAAAUAAAUGGGCAUGAUACUCAA